rnacentral:rRNA from 1 species
UACGAAGGGGGCUAGCGUUGUUCGGAAUUACUGGGCGUAAAGCGCGCGCAGGCGGCUAUCCAAGUCAGUGGUGAAAGCCCGGAGCUCAACUCCGGAACUGCCAUUGAAACUGUUUAGCUUGAGGAUGAGAGAGGUGAGUGGAAUUCCCAGUGUAGAGGUGAAAUUCGUAGAUAUUGGGAAGAACACCGGUGGCGAAGGCGGCAUCCUGGACCGAUACUGACGCUGAGGAGCGAAAGCCAGGGGAGCAAACGGG